CCCUACUGCUAUCGGGGCGGGACUAAAACAUGCGAGUCGAACGACUUCAAGCCAUGAUGAAGUCGUGGCAUACGGCUCAGUAACACGUGGCUAACCUACCCUUGAGACGGAGACAACCCCGGGAAACUGGGGCUAAUCCCCGAUAGACGAGAACCCCUGGAACGGAUCCUCGUCCAAAAGGCACCAAGAUCAUGCUUCUUGAUGUCGCUCAAGGAUGGGGCCGCGGCCGAUCAGGCUGUUGGUGAGGCAACGGCUCACCAAACCUUUAACCGGUACGGCCGUGGGAGCGGGAGCCCGGAGAUGGGAACUGAGACAAGGUCCCAGGCCCUACGGGGCGCAGCAGUUGCGAAAACUCCGCAAUGCACGAAAGUGUGACGGGGCUACCCCGAGUGCCGUCCGCUGAGGAUGGCUUUUCCUUGGUGUAAGGAGCCGGGGGAAUAAGGAGAGGGCAAGUCUGGUGUCAGCCGCCGCGGUAAUACCAGCUCUCCGAGUGGUAGGGAUGAUUAUUGGGCUUAAAGCGUCCGUAGCCUGCCCUUCAAGUCUCUCGUUAAAUCCAACGAUUCAAUCGUUGGACUGCGGGAGAUACUGUUGGGCUAGGGGGCGGGGAAGCCGACGGUAUUCCCGGUGUAGGGGUAAAAUCCUAUAAUCCCGGGAGGACCACCAGUGGCGAAGGCGGUCGGCUAGCACGCGCUCGACGGUGAGGGACGAAAGCUGGGGGAGCAAACCGGAUUAGAUACCCGGAUAGUCCCAGCUGUAAACGAUGCGGGCUAGGUGUUGAAGUGGCCACGAGCCACUUCAGUGCCGCAGGGAAACCAUUAAGCCCGCCGCCUGGGGAGUACGGCCGCAAGGCUGAAACUUAA
rnacentral:rRNA from 1 species